rnacentral:rRNA from 1 species
UACGUAGGGGGCAAGCGUUGUCCGGAAUCAUUGGGCGUAAAGAGCGCGUAGGCGGUCCGGUAAGUCCGCUCUGAAAGCCCGGGGCUCAACCCCGGGAGGCGGGCGGAUACUGUCGGGCUAGAGUCCGGAAGAGGCGAGUGGAAUUCCUGGUGUAGCGGUGAAAUGCGCAGAUAUCAGGAGGAACACCGGUGGCGAAGGCGGCUCACUGGGUCUCUUCUGACGCUGAGGCACGAAAGCUAGGGGAGCGAACGGG